rnacentral:rRNA from 1 species
AUUGAACGAUGGCGGCAGGCUUAACACAUGCAAGUCGAGCGGGGGAAGGUAGCUUGCUACCGGACCUAGCGGCGGACGGGUGAGUAAUGCUUAGGAAUCUGCCUAUUAGUGGGGGACAACAUCUCGAAAGGGAUGCUAAUACCGCAUACGUCCUACGGGAGAAAGCAGGGGAUCUUCGGACCUUGCGCUAAUAGAUGAGCCUAAGUCGGAUUAGCUAGUUGGUGGGGUAAAGGCCUACCAAGGCGACGAUCUGUAGCGGGUCUGAGAGGAUGAUCAGCCACACUGGGACUGAGACACGGCCCAGACUCCUACGGGAGGCAGCAGUGGGGAAUAUUGGACAAUGGGGGGAACCCUGAUCCAGCCAUGCCGCGUGUGUGAAGAAGGCCUUAUGGUUGUAAAGCACUUUAAGCGAGGAGGAGGCUACUCUAGUUAAUACCUAGGGAUAGUGGACGUUACUCGCAGAAUAAGCACCGGCUAACUCUGUGCCAGCAGCCGCAGUAA